UGGAUUAAUAUUAUUAGAGAUGAAAGCGAUAGAAAGUAAUAGACAUAAACGAAUAGGACGUAUAGAAAGAAAGAUUGGGGACCAUAAACAACCCAUACCUUUAAAUCUAACAGAAAAAAAAAAAGAAAAAAAAAAGAGAGAGAGAGAGAUCGUGGUCACAUGGUGGCAUGUGAGGGGAAGAAUGGGGGAAGGUUUUAUAUAAUUUUGUUAGAAUAAUAAUGAAUAUGCAAGUAAAGAAAAAAAGAAAGGGUGAUUUGGGUGUGAAUAUAAAUAAUUACAGUGUUGGGUUUUGAUGGAUUUGUCUGUUUUUGGGAAGAUUAUUGUUGGGUGAAUGUGUUACUACCCAUGUGACGUGUAUGUAUGUAUGUGAUGGGUAAAUGAAUGAAGAAGCAAGAAACGGUGAAUGAAUGAAUGAAGCAGAACCCUACUUACUUAGUUACUUACUUACUUACUACAUAGUGAUGAUGGAUACUGCUGUUAUCUCUGAAACCCAAAAAGCAAAGAAUUUUCCACCACUCUCAUCUCUCUAUAAAUUAAAGCUGCUUCUAGAGUGGUCCAUGCUCUUCUCCUUUCUAUACCAAUGCUUCACUAUUUCUUCCUUCCUUCCUUCCUUCCUUCAUUCAUUCAUUCAUUCAUCAGAUCUGAGUCCUGGUCAUGCUUUUCCACAGCUUUCUUGAACUUCUUGUAUGUGCAUCCAUCUCAACUUCUUCUAAGUAAGUAUGUAAUUACAGUCUUAACCAAGAAGCUCAAGAAAGCUGUGGGAGAAUAUGGCAAUUUCAGGCCUUUCUUGUAAUUUCUCUUCUCUGAUUCUCUCAACAUCGGUAAGUGCUAUUACCCUACACCUUAAUAUUGUUGUUAUAUAGAUAGAGUCAUCAUAUGCUGCUGCUUCAUGGUUCUGUAUGUAAUUAGAUCCAACCAAAUCAAAUUGUUGCAUUACAUUAUAUUGUUUCAUCUCUGUUUUGUUUUAAGGAAAUAUAUAAAGAAAGAAAGAAAGAAAAGGUCUCACUUGACCUGUUCCCUGUCUCCUCUGAUCUGAUCUCAUGAGAAAUUUCAGUGGGAAAUAGUGGAAAAAUAAAGAAUCAACACUUUGAGCAACGGGCACACGAAACCCAUGAAGCAGCUUUGUGAAUUGUGACACGACAUCGUAUGAGUUACCAGAGAUUCAGCUGUAAGUAACUGAUCAUGGAUGCUUGGUGAUUGGUGACCUGAACCCUUCAAUGACACGAUGAAAAGAUGAAACUGAAUCAUCAGACAAUUUUCCUAGUACGGAAUUAUUCUUGCUUUUAAACUUUAACACCACUGUUCUACUUUUUUACAAAAAAUAAAUAUGUAAAAUAUAAAAUAAAACGAGAAAAUUCUCGUGCUAUGGUU